GCAGAACGCGAAGAACCUUACCUAAGCUUGACAUCCUUUUGACCGAUGCCUAAUCGCAUUUUCCCUUCGGGGACAGAAGUGACAGGUGGUGCAUGGUUGUCGUCAGCUCGUGUCGUGAGAUGUUGGGUUAAGUCCCGCAACGAGCGCAACCCUUGCCUUUAGUUGCCAGCAUUAAGUUGGGCACUCUAGAGGGACUGCCAGGGAUAACCUGGAGGAAGGUGGGGAUGACGUCAAAUCAUCAUGCCCCCUUAUGCUUAGGGCUACACACGUGCCACAAUGGGUGGUACAGAGGGCAGCCAAGUCGUGAGGCCGAGCUAAUCCCUUAAAGCCAUUCUCAGUUCGGAUUGUAGGCUGAAACUCGCCUACAUGAAGCUGGAGUUACUAGUAAUCGCAGAUCAGAAUGCUGCGGUGAAUGCGUUCCCGGGUCUUGUACACACCG
rnacentral:rRNA from 1 species